GCUCAGGAUGAACGCUGGCGGCGUGCCUAACACAUGCAAGUCGAGCGAGAAGCUACCUAUGAUCCUUCGGGAGAUUAGACUAGUGGACAGCGGCGGACGGGUGAGUAACGCGUAAAUAACCUGCCAUACACACAAGGAUAGCCAUCGGAAACGGUGAUUAAUACUUGAUGAAGCUACAUAUUCGCAUGAAUGAGUAGUUAAAGAAUUUUGGUGUAUGAUGGAUUUGCGUUUGAUUAGCUAGUUGGUAAGGUAAAGGCUUACCAAGGCAAUGAUCAAUAGCCGGCCUGAGAGGGUGAACGGCCACACUGGAACUGAGACACGGUCCAGACUCCUACGGGAGGCAGCAGUGGGGAAUAUUGCACAAUGGAGGAAACUCUGAUGCAGCAACGCCGCGUGAACGAAGAAGGCUUUCGAGUCGUAAAGUUCUGUUAUAGGGGAAGAGGAAGUGACGGUACCCUAUGAGAAAGCCACGGCUAAUUACGUGCCAGCAGCCGCGGUAAUACGUAAGUGGCAAGCGUUAUCCGGAAUUACUGGGCAUAAAGCGUUCGUAGGCGGUUAAACAAGCCAAUAGUGAAAUCCACCAGCCUAACUGGUGUCAGCUAAUGGAACUGUAUAACUUGAGUACAGGAGAGGAAAGUGGAAUUCCUAGUGUAGUAGUGAAAUGCGUAGAUAUUAGGAAGAACAUCAGUAGCGAAGGCGACUUUCUGGACUGUAACUGACGCUGAGGAACGAAAGCGUGGGGAGCGAACACGAUUAGAUACCCUGGUAGUCCACGCCGUAAACGAUGGAUACUUGGUGUUGGCCGUAAAGGUCGGUGCCGGAGCAAAUGUCUUAAGUAUCCCGCCUGGGGAGUACGGUCGCAAGGCUGAAACUCAA
rnacentral:rRNA from 1 species